UACAGAGGUCUCAAGCGUUGUUCGGAUUCAUUGGGCGUAAAGGGUGCGUAGGGUGGCAUGGUAAGUCGGAUGUGAAAUCCCGGGGCUCAACCCCGGAACUGCAUUCGAUACUGCUGCGCUAGAGUACUGGAGAGGAGAUUGGAAUUUACGGUGUAGCAGUGAAAUGCGUAGAUAUCGAUAAGGAAGACCAGUGGCGAAGGCGGAUCUCUGGACAGUUACUGACACUGAGCACGAAGGCCAGGGAGCAAACGGG
rnacentral:rRNA from 1 species